rnacentral:rRNA from 1 species
GAACGCUGGCGGCGUGCUUAACACAUGCAAGUCGAACGAGCAAGUUCCUUCGGGAAUGAGUAUAGUGGCGCACGGGUGAGUAACGCGUAGGUUACCUGCCUAUCGAUGGGGGAUAACCAUAAUAAAUUCUGGCUAAUACCGCAUAAGUUAGUAAUAAGAAAGGAUGCUUCGGCAUUCGUCGAUAGAUGGGCCUGCGUAGCAUUAGCUUGAUGGUGGGGUAAUGGCCUACCAUGGCAACGAUGCUUAACUGGUCUGAGAGGAUGAUCAGUCACACUGGAACUGAGACACGGUCCAGACUCCUACGGGAGGCAGCAGUGGGGAAUAUUGCGCAAUGGACGAAAGUCUGACGCAGCAACGCCGCGUGAGUGAGGAAGGCCUUCGGGUUGUAAAGCUCUGUCAGAUGGGAAGAAAACUACUGGUCUAAUAGGCCAUGUACUUGACGGUACCAUCAAAGGAAGCACCGGCUAACUUCGUGCCAGCAGCCGCGGUAAUACGAAGGGUGCAAGCGUUACUCGGAUUUACUGGGCGUAAAGCGCGCGCAGGCGGACAAUUAAGCCAGAUGUGAAAUCCCGGGGCUCAACCCCGGAACUGCGUCUGGAACUGAUUGUCUAGAAUAUUGGAGAGGGAAUGGGAAUUUCUCAUGUAGGGGUAAAAUCCGUAGAGAUGAGAAGGAACACCAGAGGCGAAGGCGCAUUCCUGGCCAAUUAUUGACGCUGAGGCGCGAAAGCGUGGGGAUCAAACAGGAUUAGAUACCCUGGUAGUCCACGCUGUAAACGAUGUGCACUAGAUGUGGGAAUGUGACCAUUUCCGUAUCAAAGCUAACGCAUUAAGUGCACCGCCUGGGGAGUACGGUCGCAAGACUAAAACUCAAAGGAAUUGACGGGGGCCCGCACAAGCGGUGGAUUAUGUGGUUUAAUUCGAAGCAACGCGCAGAACCUUACCUAGGCUUGAAGUCCCACGAACCCGGCCCAAAAGCUGGGGUGCCCUUUGGGGAAUGUGGUGAUAGGCGCUGCAUGGCUGUCGUCAGCUCGUGUCGUGAGAUGUUGGGUUAAGUCUCGCAACGAGCGCAACCCCUAUCCUUAGUUGCCAGCAUUAAGUUGGGCACUCUAGGGAGACUGCCUGGGUUAACCAGGAGGAAGGUGGGGAUGACGUCAAGUCCUCAUGGCCCUUAUGUCUAGGGCUACACACGUAAUACAAUGGCACAUACAAAGGGAAGCGAACUCGCGAGGGGGAGCAAAUCUCAAAAAGUGUGUCUCAGUCCGGAUUGGAGUCUGCAACUCGACUCCAUGAAGUUGGAAUCGCUAGUAAUCGCGGAUCAGCACGCCGCGGUGAAUACGUUCCCGGGCCUUGUACACACCGCCCGUCACACCAUGGGAGUUGUUCUUACCUGAAGCCGUGACCUUAACCGCAAGGAGAGGAGCGUCUACGGUCGGA